rnacentral:rRNA from 1 species
AUACGGAGGACGCGAGCGUUAUCCGGAUUCAUUGGGUUUAAAGGGUGCGCAGGCGGCCGUGCAAGUCAGCGGUGAAAGCCCGGGGCUCAACCCCGGAAGUGCCGUUGAUACUGCGUGGCUGGAAUGCGGUCGAGGCGGGCGGAACGGGGCGUGUAGCGGUGAAAUGCGUAGAUAUGCCACAGAACGCCGAUAGCGGAGGCAGCUCGCCAGGCCUGCAUUGACGCUCGGGCACGAAAGCGUGGGGAUCGAACAGGAUUAGAUACCCUGGUAGUCCACGCCGUAAACGAUGGGCGCUCGUCGUCGGCGACAGACAGUCGGCGGCCAAGCGAAAGCGAUAAGCGCCCCACCUGGGGAGUACGGUCGCAAGGCUGAAACUCAAAUGAAUUGGCGGGG